AACGAACGCUGGCGGCGCGCCUAAUACAUGCAAGUCGAGCGAGAAGACGUAGCAAUACGUUUGUAAAGCGGCGAACGGGUGAGGAAUACAUGGGUAACCUACCCUCGAGUGGGGAAUAACUAGCCGAAAGGUUAGCUAAUACCGCGUACGCUCCUUGGACUUCGGUUCAGGGAGGAAAGCGAUACCGUGGGUAUCGCGCUCAUGGAUGGGCUCAUGUCCUAUCAGCUUGUUGGGAGGUAACGGCUCACCAAGGCUUCGACGGGUAGCUGGUCUGAGAGGACGAUCAGCCACACUGGCACUGCGACACGGGCCAGACUCCUACGGGAGGCAGCAGUAAGGAAUAUUGCGCAAUGGGCGAAAGCCUGACGCAGCGACGCCGCGUGGGGGAUGAAGGUCUUCGGAUUGUAAACCCCUUUCGGGAGGGAAGAUGGAAUGGGGUAACCCAUUCGGACGGUACCUCCAGAAGCAGCCACGGCUAACUUCGUGCCAGCAGCCGCGGUAAC
rnacentral:rRNA from 1 species